rfam:Ovis aries breed Texel chromosome 10, whole genome shotgun sequence.
UCCCUGGUGGUCCAGUGGUUAGGACUCAGCACUUUCACUGCUGGAGCCUGGGUUCAAUCCCUGCUCAGGGAA